UGUUUGCGUGCGUGCGUGAGUGUUUGUAUCUGUCCAUGUGUGUAAUUGUUUGUGAUGUCAAUAGGCCAAUACAUAUGCUGUAGUGUGUCAGAACAUCUUUAUCAGGAUUGUGUCUCUGCGGGGACUAGAUGUCGAUCAGGAUUGUGUCUCUGUGGGGACUAGAUGUCCAUCGGGAUUGUGUCUCUGUGGGGACUAGAUGUCCAUCAGGAUUGUGUCUCUGUGGGGACUAGAUGUCCAUCAGGAUUGUGUCUCUGUGGGGACUAGAUGUCAAUCGGGAUUGUGUCUCUGUGGGGACUAGAUGUCCAUCAGGAUUGUGUCUCUGUGGGGACUAGAUGUCUAUCAGGAUUGUGUCUCUGUGUUGUCUAGAUGUCCAUCAGGAUUGUGUCUCUGUGUUGUCUAGAUGUCUAUCAGGAUUGUGUCUCUGUGUUGUCUAGAUGUCUAUCAGGAUUGUGUCUCUGUGUUGUCUAGAUGUCUAUCAGGAUUGUGUCUCUGUGUUGUCUAGAUGUCUAUCAGGAUUGUGUCUCUGUGUUGUCUAGAUGUCUAUCAGGAUUGUGUCUCUGUGUAACCACCUGACCAGGAUGAUGAGAAGAGGGCAGGAACAACAACAACAACAACAGGACCAGAGGAGCUGUGACAGCGACAACGAGGAAGAGACCAGGAAGACAAGACUACAGACCAGGAAGAGGAGUAACACUUCCUGAAGACAACAUCCAAUCAAAAUGCCACCAUUCCUCCAUUCCACUUCCUGAAGUCAACAACCAACCAAAACACCACCAUUCCUCCAUUCCACUUCCUGAAGUCAACAACCAACCAAAAUGUCACCAUUCCUCCAUUCCACUUCCUGAAGUCAACAACCAAUCAAAACACCACCAUUCCUCCAUUCCACUUCCUGAAGACAACAACCAAGCACCAUUUAAAUCCAGUUGUCUAUGAAGUUAUAGUCUUUUCUCAGUGAAAGGUCAUAGACCUUUUUUAAUGAUACUUCUGUAUGUUAGCUAGCUUUUUAUAAAUCUGUUUACGGUGUAGUGGUUGUAUAUGUCGGGAAAUACAAGACAGCAGAAUGAACCCGUUUGUGUUCUUACUGUAUUUUACAUCAGUGUUGCAUGUAUAAAAUAUGUUUUCCUAUUA